rnacentral:rRNA from 1 species
AAUUCGCCCUUAGAGUUUGAUCAUGGCUCAGGAUGAACGCUGGCGGCGUGCCUAAUACAUGCAAGUCGAGCGAGGUCCUUCGGGGCCUAGCGGCGGACGGGUGAGUAACACGUGGGUAACCUGCCUGUAAGACUGGGAUAACUUCGGGAAACCGAAGCUAAUACCGGAUAAUUUUGAGCAUCGCAUGAUGCUUGAUGGAAGGACGGUUUCGGCUGUCACUUACAGAUGGACCCGCGUCGCAUUAGCUAGUUGGUGAGGUAACGGCUCACCAAGGCGACGAUGCGUAGCCGACCUGAGAGGGUGAUCGGCCACACUGGGACUGAGACACGGCCCAGACUCCUACGGGAGGCAGCAGUAGGGAAUCUUCGGCAAUGGGCGAAAGCCUGACCGAGCAACGCCGCGUGAGCGAUGAAGGCCUUCGGGUCGUAAAGCUCUGUUGUUAAGGAAGAACAAGUACGAGAGUAACUGCUCGUACCUUGACGGUACUUAACGAGAAAGCCACGGCUAACUACGUGCCAGCAGCCGCGGUAAUACGUAGGUGGCGAGCGUUAUCCGGAAUUAUUGGGCGUAAAGCGCGCGCAGGCGGUUUCUUAAGUCUGAUGUGAAAGCCCACGGCUCAACCGUGGAGGGUCAUUGGAAACUGGGAAACUUGAGUGCAGAAGAGGAAAGCGGAAUUCCACGUGUAGCGGUGAAAU